CAAAAGCAACUCUGGGGGAACUGCACUGUGCUUCUUUUUAGGGUGCUAAGAGGGGAUGUAUGAGGUGUCCCUGAGCAAGGUGGUAUAGAUUGGGGCAGAGAAAUUGAUGCUGUCCCCACUAAAAAGAGGGGUAACAUCUGAGAUAUCAGGCACAAAUGCUGGGAUGGAAGUCACAGAGGAUGGCAGCACUGUUCUUACCACCUGCAUUGUGCAGCCAGGGCCAGGAAUCAGCUAUCUGGAAUUCUGGCUACAAGACCUUCCUAAGGCUGCAGAGUCACGUGCAAGCAGUUGUUUCUGGGUCGCUGAAGGAAAACUGUGAGCUGUAUACUGGAUCUAUUUUCAGCACACACAGGUGCAAAAGGACGGAGCUAAAGGACAUCUCAGCACGACGAGGCUGUUACUCCAGCUCCAGGAGUGCAUUGGAGCUGAAGAGCAGGAUGGGAAGCUGCAGCCUUGGCCCUGUGUUCAGAGCUAAAAAGAGCUAAAGGUCUCAUUCACAAACUGAGCAGAAAAAGUGGAGCAAAUGCCUGCAUUGAAAUGUUUCACUUUUAAAUUCAUCCCAGGUUGGAAGGAGAAUGACUCCAUGGGCGAACACUGAUUUGUUCAGAAAAGAGCCAUCUAUGAGACGUGUUUUUUGUUUUUACUGGUAAAAAAAAAAAUCCACCCCAGAAAAAUGGGAGUAAGACAUUUCCAUUGCAAAAUAACUGCGACAACUCAGCUGCUACUACACCUUGCCCCCAGCCUAGCAAGCACUUCUUGCACUCUUGUCUCAGCACACGCUGCAGUGGCGGCUCUUCAUGUGCAGCACCAUGGCAAUUUAUCAUUACCCGCUCUCCAAAUUAUUCUAGUGUUGAUUAAAUUAGUAAAUGCAAUCACAAUCUGAAGCAAGUUAAUUGAGAGAAUUUAUUUGGUCCUGACAGUUUUAUGCAUGUUUGAUUAAGUAUUAUAAGGUUUGUUUUUGAUUUUGCAUAAUUUAACUUUAAAUCCUGAGCUGGGGGAGGGGGGAGGGAGCAUCAACUAUUAAUGACCAAAAUAAACUCUUUUAGGAUGCAUGUAUUUGUGAUUUAUUUCUGAACGCAAUACCUUCCAGAUUUUUGUUGUUCUGUUGCCAAAGUGACAAAUAUGUUUAAAGCAAUGUUUUGAGCAGUUUGGUUCACGCUAUAAAUCUCAUGAAAUGUAUACAAUUCAUUAAAAGUUUUGAAAGAAGUACAAGUUAGCAUUUAUAUUGCAACAAGUGACAUAUAAAUGUGUAUGUUUGUCUUUGGAGCGUGCCAUAAAAUAUAUCAGCAGCAGCUAGCCACUGUGACUGGUACUAAUGGCCCGCUCUCGGCGCUGAUGAUAAGUUUCAUCACAAAUCUUCAGUGCUGUCAACACAAAACUGUUCAAUCAACAGGAAUAUGAGUUGUGUCUUUAGUAAAAUUAGCACAGGAAAGAAAUACAACCCAGAGCCCUGCUGGAGUGCUGGGGGCGGGUUCUCUUUGGGCUGAAGCACAGACUUUUACCUCUUUGAAUGUCAAAGCUUCAAUUCAUGCCUGCCCCAAGGACUGCGUAUUUUUUAUGAAGACAUGUAUUCAUUUAAGCAGGUCAACGUAUUUCAGGCUGAAAACUGAGUACUGCUGCCUUGCUUUUUGUCAUCCUGACCUAAGAAAUGAAAAGGGGUGGUCUUGGCACUGACGCUGUGGUGUCACCCCCUGUGCACAUAUGCUGGGGUUGUGCUGUGCAGGUGUCUGAGUGCUGCUGGAGGCCAUGGAAGACUUUGUCUGCCUGGGGGGAUUCCUGCAGGAUGCCAAGGCCCCCUGUUUGCAGUACUUGCAUUCAGCAGCGUUCUCUUCCUCAUCCCCAUCUUUCUCCAAGCCAGUAAGACCAAAGUACCCUCAUAGUGCUGUUGCCUGGGCUGUAAUUCCCAUCUCUGGCUCCCUGUUACAGGCGAUGAUGGAGGAAAAUAAAUGAAACGUGGCUCUCACGCUAAUCUCAGUCACCAAACAGAUGUUCCCAUUUCAUGCUAUUGGGAAAACGCAUCAGCUUCGCACCUCCCCUUCUCCCUCCCACCAGAAGGUAUGUGGGAGAGCAGAAAGGGCAAUUUGUUAGGAUGUAAUUCUCCCUUGAUGUUCAUCCCGUGCCUCCGGGCCUCUCAUUGUGUUUGCAGAACAAAAAUGCUCUGGGGGAGCAGGGGGAGCACAUUGCAGGCAGUUGGUGUGCAAGGAGGGAUUUGGCCGGGUGCCUUCAACCGCCUGAGCCGUGCAGCAUGUCUUGUUAUUGGCAGAUGGCUUGAGUUAUUAUUAUUUAAUGUUUUUCCACUGUGGUAAUGCCUAGAGAGCAAGCGGGGCAGGGGGCCAAUAAAACAAAAGUUUUGUAUUCUUUCCAUUACAGAAAGUAAUCCCUAAUUAAAUCUAAGAGGAAACACCAGGGAGAACGCUUCUGUCUCGUUGUGUUGGUGCUGAAACGGGCUCCUCCUGUUUGUGUUUAAGGAACUUUCGGUGCAUUUUCGGCCACCCAGAAGCCCUUGUUGUGGUGCACAUUGCGCGCUGGGAUCUCACGCGUGAGCCAAGCCACAAAGCCUCGCUCUGGGCCCUGAAAGGUGACUUUGAGAAACCUCGUCCCCGUUCUUAUUGCAGGUUAUUUAUUAUCACCGAUGUGCAAUCCCGAGAUUUCCGUAGCGCGGCUGUUCCUGCACCUCGUGGACUCAGCACAGCCCACAGCCGGGUGAGCCGCGAUACGUGAGCGGUCCGGGCCGAGCUGCCCUGCGAAGCACCGCCCGGCGAGCGCUGAAGGCCGGCUUCGCCUUGACGAGCGGCUUUUGUCACUUCGCCUCGCUCAGCAAGGCGGGCCCGCCGCCUCCGAGCGGCUCCACGAGGCGCCGCGGGCCCUACGGACGGCAGGACGGGGCUGGCAGCUCCGUACCGACACGGGCAGCCGGACCCGCCGCGC